UGCGCAGGCGGUUUUGUAAGACAGUGGUGAAAUCCCCGGGCUCAACCUGGGAACUGCCAUUGUGACUGCAAGGCUAGAGUACGGCAGAGGGGGGUGGAAUUCCGCGUGUAGCAGUGAAAUGCGUAGAUAUGCGGAGGAACACCGAUGGCGAAGGCAACCCCCUGGGCCUGUACUGACGCUCAUGCACGAAAGCGUGGGAGCAAACA
rnacentral:rRNA from 1 species